rnacentral:rRNA from 1 species
GCAGCCUGAUGCAGCAACGCCGCGUGAGGGAUGACGGCCUUCGGGUUGUAAACCUCUUUUAGUAGGGAAGAAGGGCUUCGGCUUGACGGUACCUGCAGAAAAAGCACCGGCUAACUACGUGCCAGCAGCCGCGGUAAUACGUAGGGUGCGAGCGUUGUCCGGAAUUAUUGGGCGUAAAGAGCUCGUAGGCGGUUUGUCACGUCUGCUGUGAAAUCCCGAGGCUCAACCUCGGGCCUGCAGUGGGUACGGGCAGACUGGAGUGCGGUAGGGGAGAAUGGAAUUCCUGGUGUAGCGGUGGAAUGCGCAGAUAUCAGGAGGAACACCGAUGGCGAAGGCAGUUCUCUGGGCCGUAACUGACGCUGAGGAGCGAAAGCGUGGGGAGCGAACAGGAUUAGAUACCCUGGUAGUCCACGCCGUAAACGUUGGGCGCUAGAUGUGGGGACCUUUCCACGGUUUCCGUGUCGUAGCUAACGCAUUAAGCGCCCCGCCUGGGGAGUACGGCCGCAAGGCUAAAACUCAAAGGAAUUGACGGGGGCCCGCACAAGCGGCGGAGCAUGCGGAUUAAUUCGAUGCAACGCGAAGAACCUUACCAAGGCUUGACAUAACCGAGAACGCCGCAGAAAUGUGGAACUCUU